AGAGUUUGAUCAUGGCUCAGGACGAACGCUGGCGGCGUGCCUAAUACAUGCAAGUAGAACGCUGAAGAGAGGAGCUUGCUCUUCUUGGAUGAGUUGCGAACGGGUGAGUAACGCGUAGGUAACCUGCCUGGUAGCGGGGGAUAACUAUUGGAAACGAUAGCUAAUACCGCAUAAAAUUGAUUAUUGCAUGAUAAUUAAUUGAAAGAUGCAACUGCAUCACUACCAGAUGGACCUGCGUUGUAUUAGCUAGUUGGUGAGGUAAGGGCUCACCAAGGCGACGAUACAUAGCCGACCUGAGAGGGUGAUCGGCCACACUGGGACUGAGACACGGCCCAGACUCCUACGGGAGGCAGCAGUAGGGAAUCUUCGGCAAUGGGGGGAACCCUGACCGAGCAACGCCGCGUGAGUGAAGAAGGUUUUCGGAUCGUAAAGCUCUGUUGUAAGAGAAGAACGGGUGUGAGAGUGGAAAGUUCACACUGUGACGGUAUCUUACCAGAAAGGGACGGCUAACUACGUGCCAGCAGCCGCGGUAAUACGUAGGUCCCGAGCGUUGUCCGGAUUUAUUGGGCGUAAAGCGAGCGCAGGCGGUUAGAUAAGUCUGAAGUUAAAGGCUGUGGCUUAACCAUAGUAUGCUUUGGAAACUGUUUAACUUGAGUGCAGAANGGGAGAGUGGAAUUCCAUGUGUAGCGGUGAAAUGCGUAGAUAUAUGGAGGAACACCGGUGGCGAAAGCGGCUCUCUGGUCUGUAACUGACGCUGAGGCUCGAAAGCGUGGGGAGCAAACAGGUUUAGAUACCCUGGUAGUCCACGCUGUAAACG
rnacentral:rRNA from 1 species